rnacentral:rRNA from 1 species
GACGAACGCUGGCGGCGUGCUUAACACAUGCAAGUCGAACGGAAAGGCCCUGCUUUUGUGGGGUGCUCGAGUGGCGAACGGGUGAGUAACACGUGAGUAACCUGCCCUUGACUUUGGGAUAACUUCAGGAAACUGGGGCUAAUACCGGAUAGGAGCUCCUGCUGCAUGGUGGGGGUUGGAAAGUUUCGGCGGUUGGGGAUGGACUCGCGGCUUAUCAGCUUGUUGGUGGGGUAGUGGCUUACCAAGGCUUUGACGGGUAGCCGGCCUGAGAGGGUGACCGGCGACAUUGGGACUGAGGGACGGCCCAGACUGCUACGGGAGGCAGCAGGGGGGAAUAUUGCACAAUGGGCGGAGGGCUGAUGCAGCAGCGCCGCGGGCGGGGUGACGGCCUUCGGGGUGUAAACCGCUUUCGCCUGUGACGAAGCGUGUGUGGAGGUAAUGGGUAAAGAAGCACCGGCUAACUACGUG